GCUGGGUGUGGUGGUACACACCUGUAAUCCCAGUGACUCAGGAAGCUGAGGCAGACGGUUUGAUAAUAAUAGUAUAGUUAGUUUAUUUGUUUGAUCAGUUACAAUUUUUCCUUUCAAAAUAUCUAUUAAAUGAUUGUCUCUU
rnacentral:sRNA from 1 species